GAUGAAGAACGUAGCGAAAUGCGAUAAGUAAUGUGAAUUGCAGAAUUCAGUGAAUCAUCGAAUCUUUGAACGCACAUUGCGCCCUUUGGUAUUCCGAAGGGCAUGCCUGUUCGAGCGUCAUUUCACCACUCAAGCCUGGCUUGGUAUUGGGCGCCGCGGUCGAUCCGCGCGCCUCAAAGUCUCCGGCUGAGCUGUCCGUCUCUAAGCGUUGUGAUUUCAUUAAUCGCUUCGGAGUGCGGGCGGCCGCGACCGUUAAAUCUUUCACAAGGUUGACCUCGGAUCAGGUAGGGAUACCCGCUGAACUUAAGCAUAUCAAUAAGCGGAGGA
rnacentral:misc_RNA from 1 species